GACGAACGCUGGCGGCGUGCCUAAUACAUGCAAGUCGAGCGGAGUUGAAGAGAAGCUUGCUUCUCUGAUACUUAGCGGCGGACGGGUGAGUAACACGUAGGUAACCUGCCUAUAAGACUGGGAUAACAUUCGGAAACGGAUGCUAAUACCGGAUAUGCAUUUUGAUCGCAUGAUCGAGAUGGGAAAGACGGAGCAAUCUGUCACUUAUAGAUGGACCUGCGGCGCAUUAGCUAGUUGGUGAGGUAAUGGCUCACCAAGGCGACGAUGCGUAGCCGACCUGAGAGGGUGAUCGGCCACACUGGGACUGAGACACGGCCCAGACUCCUACGGGAGGCAGCAGUAGGGAAUCUUCCGCAAUGGACGAAAGUCUGACGGAGCAACGCCGCGUGAGUGAAGAAGGUCUUCGGAUCGUAAAGCUCUGUUGUUAGAGAAGAACAAGUGGAAUAGUAACUGAUUUCACCAUGACGGUAUCUAACCAGAAAGCCACGGCUAACUACGUGCCAGCAGCCGCAGUAAA
rnacentral:rRNA from 1 species